UACAGAGGGGGGCGAGCGUUAUUCGGAAUUAUUGGGCGUAAAGGGCGCGUAGGCGGCUUUGCAAGUGACGGGUGAAAUCCCUCGGCUUAACCGAGGAACUGCCUGUCAGACUGCAUGGCUUGAGACCGGGAGAGGUGAGUGGAAUUCCCCAGUGUAGCGGUGAAAUGCGUAGAUAUCGGGAGGAACACCUAUGGGCGAAGGCAGCUCGCUGGGACGUUACUGACGCUGAGACGCGAAAGCGUGGGGAGCAAACAGG
rnacentral:rRNA from 1 species